UAGCCGCUGUUGCAAAAUAAAUCCAUCACCGGGGGGGGGGGGGGUUGGGAAGAAGAAUUUUUUAUUUUCUUACAUUGGUUCAAGGUUGAGUCGUUUCUGAGAUGUCAGAUUUCAAAGGAAGGUAAAGUAAAAGAGAUGUUCACACUGUAAACAUAUAUGAUGACAUGCAACUGGUGCUGAUAAUAGCUCUUAUCUGAUGAAUCAUCUAUUGGUUCAAAGUUAGAGGUGGGGUUAGGAUGGAGACUGUCCCAAGGGGGGAAA